CCCUCAGUGCCACGGAGGCUGCAGGCAACGACGCCGCCCGCCCUGCGCCGCGUUCCAACCUGUCAUAACAAUUCUACACAAUUCCAUUGUUUUCAUUUAAUCUUACACAUGUAAAAAAAUCUGUUUGAAAUUAUAAAUUUAUUAUAUAAAUAAGUGAGGUGAACCGCGCUCUGUGAUGAUUUAUUCUGAGAUGCUGUCCACCGCUUAUCAUUGAACCAGUGCCAAAUAAACCUUCGACACAAAAAAAAAUAAAACUAUAAUGCC